ensembl:lncRNA NDNF-AS1 NDNF antisense RNA 1
ACCAAGAACUCGUGCGCUGCCUGGACCUCUAGCUUUUCGCCCUACACGCAGACGCCCUCUGCAAAACCCCAGUCCCGCAGACUUUCCCUAGCGGCGGGCGGAGGGCAUGAACCUGGAAAGGGAGGCAACAGCCCUCUUGGCAGGCGGGCAAAAUGAGACAAUGAGGUGAGAAAAGUCCUCAUUGUAUCUCCACUUAGGAGAUACGAUCUAGAGCAGAUCCCUGGGUCAUUCAUUAACAAAGCUUACGAAGUCCCUGCUGUGUACCAGAUGAGAAAACGGAGGUUUAUGGCCAUCAGUGGCUGAGCAGGGAUCGGAGUCUCAUUCUGUCAAACUCUAAAGCCUGCGUUCUGAACCAACUCAAGCUGCCCCAGGAUAUUCCUUGGAGCCUCUAUCAACUAAUUUCACAGAUUCUUUUUUUUUCCUUUUUGCUGCUGUCAUGUUAAUGGGCAUUAUUUAAAAAGGGAUCUUACCACAGAAUUUGAUUUGGUGUCUCCUUGUUGACACCAUAUAAGAGCAAAUCUAACCACAUGUAGUGUUUUCACAAAAGUGUACCUAUCCAUCAAUUCUAGCCACAAACCUCUAAGGUCAGAAAUCUCAAAGAUUAAGCCAGAGGGAGGUGGA